AUUGAACGCUGGCGGCAGGCCUAACACAUGCAAGUCGAGCGGAUGAAGGGAGCUUGCUCCUGGAUUCAGCGGCGGACGGGUGAGUAAUGCCUAGGAAUCUGCCUGGUAGUGGGGGAUAACGUCCGGUAACGGGCGCUAAUACCGCAUACGUCCUGAGGGAGAAAGUGGGGGAUCUUCGGACCUCACGCUAUCAGAUGAGCCUAGGUCGGAUUAGCUAGUUGGUGGGGUAAAGGCCUACCAAGGCGACGAUCCGUAACUGGUCUGAGAGGAUGAUCAGUCACCUUGAACCUGGGCAACGUUCCAGACCCCUAGGGGAGGCAGCAGUGGGGAAUAUUGGCCAAUGGGCGAAAGCCUGAGCCAGCCAGGCCGCGUGGGUGAAGAAGUUCUUCGGAUUGUAAAGCACUUUAAGUUGGGAGAAGGGCAGUAAGUUAAUACCUUGCUGUUUUGACGUUACCAACAGAAUAAGCACCGGCUAACUUCGUG
rnacentral:rRNA from 1 species